rnacentral:rRNA from 1 species
CUAUUCUCAAACUUUAAAUGGGUAAGACGAGCGACUUGCUUAAGUGAAGUCGCUCCGCGAAUGGAAGUUGCUAGUGGGCCAUAGCUGGUAAGCAGCUCUGGCGAUGCGGGAUGAACCGAACGCGAUGUUAAAGCGCCGGACUGUCCGCUCAUCAGAUCCCAUAAAAGGUGUUGGUUCAUAUAGACAGCAGGACGGUGGCCAUGGGAGUCGGAAUCCGCUAAGG